GACGAACGCUGGCGGCGUGCUUAACACAUGCAAGUCGAACGGAAAGGCCCUGCUUGCAGGGUACUCGAGUGGCGAACGGGUGAGUAACACGUGGGUGAUCUGCCCUGCACUUCGGGAUAAGCCUGGGAAACUGGGUCUAAUACCGGAUAGGAGCCAUUUUUAGUGUGAUGGUUGGAAAGUUUUUUUCGGUGUAGGAUGAGCUCGCGGCCUAUCAGCUUGUUGGUGGGGUAAUGGCCUACCAAGGCGGCGACGGGUAGCCGGCCUGAGAGGGUGGACGGCCACAUUGGGACUGAGAUACGGCCCAGACUCCUACGGGAGGCAGCAGUGGGGAAUAUUGCACAAUGGGCGCAAGCCUGAUGCAGCGACGCCGCGUGGGGGAGGACGGCCUUCGGGUUGUAAACUCCUUUCGCUAGGGACGAAGCUUUUUGUGACGGUACCUAGAUAAGAAGCACCGGCUAACUACGUG
rnacentral:rRNA from 1 species